rnacentral:rRNA from 1 species
UGGAAACGGUAGCUAAUACCGCAUAACGUCGCAAGACCAAAGUGGGGGACCUUCGGGCCUCACACCAUCGGAUGUGCCCAGAUGGGAUUAGCUAGUAGGUGGGGUAAUGGCUCACCUAGGCGACGAUCCCUAGCUGGUCUGAGAGGAUGACCAGCCACACUGGAACUGAGACACGGUCCAGACUCCUACGGGAGGCAGCAGUGGGGAAUAUUGCACAAUGGGCGCAAGCCUGAUGCAGCCAUGCCGCGUGUAUGAAGAAGGCCUUCGGGUUGUAAAGUACUUUCAGCGGGGAGGAAGGCGGUGAAGUUAAUAGCUUCACCGAUUGACGUUACCCGCAGAAGAAGCACCGGCUAACUCCGUGCCAGCAGCCGCGGUAAUACGGAGGGUGCAAGCGUUAAUCGGAAUUACUGGGCGUAAAGCGCACGCAGGCGGUCUGUCAAGUCGGAUGUGAAAUCCCCGGGCUUAACCUGGGAACUGCAUUCGAAACUGGCAGGCUAGAGUCUUGUAGAGGGGGGUAGAAUUCCAGGUGUAGCGGUGAAAUGCGUAGAGAUCUGGAGGA